UGCAAUUGUCCUAAAACAUUCCUCCUAAGUGCUGCCGAUGGAAUUCCAAUCUCCAAUUUCUCCUACUCUGGGUUCUAUUCUAGCUAAAUCCAUGGUGGAUCUUAGAUGAGCUCAUUCUGUCAGCUUCACCACUCUCAGGUAAUAUUGGGUACUCAGAUGGACAGACUACUUCCAGUUCAAUCAGGUUUUGAGCUGAAAAUCCCUGAUUCAUUAUCAGAUGGUUGAAGAUGCUUGAACAAAUCCCUACCCCUUCUUUUUGGUAAAGAUUUUUGGUUGCUAGUGUUUUAAUUCUAGUUGUUGUUAGCACAGAUGUAAUGUCUUCUUCCAGACAUACUGUUAAAUUCUCUUUACUAUGCUCUUUAUUAUCCUCCAUAUCUGCUCUUUGAACUAUGCCUGAACUUGUUGCUUUAAUGUAAAUAUGCCUACUUCAACUGA